rnacentral:rRNA from 1 species
CGGGGGGCAGCAGUGAGGAAUAUUGCGCAAUGGGCGAAAGCCUGACGCAGCGACGCCGCGUGAAGGAUGAAGGUCUUCGGAUCGUAAACUUCUGUUAAGUGGGAAGAAAGACUCGUUUCUAAUAAAAACGAGGGAUGACAGUACUAUUAGAGAAAGCACCGGCUAACUUCGUGCCAGCAGCCGCGGUAAUACGAAGGGUGCUAGCGUUAUUCGGAAUCAUUGGGCGUAAAGGGCGCGUAGGCGGCCUGUUAAGUUUGCUGUUAAAUCUUUCGGCCUAACCGAAAAACUGCAGCAAAAACUGAUAGGCUAGAGUGUAAGAGAGAGAAGUGGAAUUCUCGGAGUAGCGGUAAAAUGCGUAGAUCUCGAGAGGAACACCGAUGGCGAAGGCAGCUUCUUGGCUUACUACUGACGCUGAGGCGCGAAAGCGUGGGGAGCAAACAGGAUUAGAUACCCCAGU